GAUGAACGCUGGCGGCGUGCUUAACACAUGCAAGUCGAACGGACAGGCCCUGCUUUUGUGGGGUGCUCGGGUGGCGAACGGGUGAGUAACACGUGUGUAUCCUGCCCUUGUCUUUCUGAUAACUUCAGGAAACUGGGGCUCUUACCGGAUAGGAGCUCCUGCUGCAUGGUGGGGGUUGGAAAGUUUCGGCGGUUGGGGCUGGACUCGCGGCUUAUCAGCUUGUUAGUGGGGUAGUGGCUUACCAAGGUUUUGACGGGUAGCCGGCCUGAGAGGGGGACCAGCCACAUUGGGACUGAGGUACGGCGCAGACUCCUACGGGAGGCAGCAGUGGGGAAUAUUGCACAACAGGCGGAAGCCUGAGGCAACAACGCCGCGUGCGGGAUGACGGCCUUCGGGUUAUAAACCGCUUUCGCCUGUGACGAAGCGUGAGUGACGGUAAUGGGUAAAGAAGCACCGGCUAACUACGUG
rnacentral:rRNA from 1 species